rnacentral:rRNA from 1 species
GAUGAACGCUGGCGGCGUGCUUAACACAUGCAAGUCGAGCGAGUGAGUUCUUCGGAACGAUCUAGCGGCGGACGGGUGAGUAACACGUGGGCAACCUGCCUCAUAGAGGGGAAUAGCCUCCCGAAAGGGAGAUUAAUACCGCAUAAACUUAUCGACUGGCAUCACAUGAUAAUCAAAGGAGUAAUCCGCUAUGAGAUGGGCCCGCGGCGCAUUAGCUAGUUGGUGAGGUAACGGCUCACCAAGGCGACGAUGCGUAGCCGACCUGAGAGGGUGAUCGGCCACAUUGGGACUGAGACACGGCCCAGACUCCUACGGGAGGCAGCAGUGGGGAAUAUUGCACAAUGGGGGAAACCCUGAUGCAGCAACGCCGCGUGAGUGAUGAAGGUCUUCGGAUUGUAAAGCUCUGUCUUUGGGGACGAUAAUGACGGUACCCAAGGAGGAAGCCACGGCUAACUACGUGCCAGCCGCCGCCGUAA